rnacentral:lncRNA from 1 species
CACGCGAAAAUUUUUCAAAAAAAAAUAUAUUUUAAAUAUAUUACUAAAAUGCCACUACUAUAUUAUAUGCAAUAAGUAUAACCAUAUACUCUAUGUAUGUAUGCAUACUUAAUAUACAUAUCACUCUAGAUGGUCUAGUAUGAUCAUAUACUUUGUCUAUAUACAUUUCGUCCGGUCAUAUACACCUUAAAUCUAGAGAUAUGGAGAUGAGAGUAACUACACGCGCGUGUAAAAGAAACGCGUCCUGCUCAUAAAAUUUGUUCUUCGUAAUCAAAAAUUUGUCUGUAUAUUCUCCUGUGCUCUCAGCCACCUCUGAAGUCAACUGACCAAGUCUGUUGUCACUAAGAGGGUGUCUUCCUCUUCCAUAAUAAGAUCUUUCCCUGGAAUCACCUGCUCAAGGUCGCACUCGGUGAUCUUUCUCGUGAGAUUUUCAAAGUCGAGUUGCUAUGUAAGUUGUUGUAAAUAUUUUUUGUUUUUCUUUUUCCUCGUCUAAUAGAAAUACGGCAAAGCUCUUGCUGCCUUUCUAAAAAAAUCUUCCUCAGCACUGAUGCUGUCAUCAUGGUAUGUCGACAAACAAUGGAAGGGAUUUGAAGCUAGAGCCAAACCAGAGCUAGAGCCUCUAAGGUCUGAAAUCUGUUGCUGCUUAGAACUUCCAAGUGAAAACUGUAGCUGCUUCCGCUUCCGCCACCUUGAAUUAAGGUGUGGCCGCAUGAUCUACCCUCGUCUAGAUUCACUACACCACACAUGCAUGAGGAGCAUCAAUAUGGAGUAUAAUUAAUUAGCACAUUUGGCAAGCAUUUUACAAACAGUGGACUUGUGACGUGUACAACAUUAUUGAUAGAUAGAUAGAUUGAUUGAUAUAUAGAUUUAUAACAUAGCACAUAAACAUAACAUAAACACACAUGUAAACUUUCAGAUAGAUUAUAUAUAUUAGGUCCUAAUCUUUAGUGGUUAUACAGUAUACGAAGGGAACAGCAAUCAUUAUGUAACACGUACGGAUGGAAUUAGCUAAUCUAUCUAGCUAGGGUUCGGUACCUUGUGGACUUUGGGAGAUCAAUCCUAGUUCAAAACUUCAAAUCAUCGAGUAUAGAUCGAGGAGCUCUUCGAGGUCGAUCGCCUAGAUGGAGCAGGUACGUGGCUGCGUUUUCCUGUCACCCUGGACGGAAGAGGAGAGGACGCGACGGAGGGCGCCCUUUGCCGCCGCGUGAGGAAAUAUAUAGGGAACGAACAAAACUAGCGCAAUUGUGUCGGAUUCUACAGGGAUUCUAUUCUAUUAUUCGAGGGCCGCGGAAACGCCGCCGUAGAAGCGGAAACGCCCUUGGACGACCUCUGCUGCCGGAUUUGAUUGGGUUCGAGACUUGGAGCACCCAUUGUUGUAUUU